UUUUAAAUUUAGAGUUUGAUCCUGGCUCAGGACGAACGCUGGCGGCGUGCUUAACACAUGCAAGUCGAGCGAUGAAGCUUCCUUCGGGAAGUGAAUUAGCGGCGGACGGGUGAGUAACACGUGGGUAACCUGCCUCAAAGUGGGGGAUAGCCUUCCGAAAGGAAGAUUAAUACCGCAUAAUAUGAGAGAAUCGCAUGAUUUUCUUAUCAAAGAUUUAUUGCUUUGAGAUGGACCCGCGGCGCAUUAGCUAGUUGGUAAGGUAACGGCUUACCAAGGCAACGAUGCGUAGCCGACCUGAGAGGGUGAUCGGCCACAUUGGAACUGAGACAC
rnacentral:rRNA from 1 species